AGAAGUUGAGAAUAUCCGUAAGUCUUCUGGAGGUCAAAGAAUCUUCUCCACUAUUUGAUAAAUGGGUGGAAUUAGCCAUGGAGAAUGGGGUAAAAGAGCUGGAUUUUGAGGUUAUAACAGAUAAAAAUUCUGUCAACGCUUUACCUCAGACAAUCUUUUCUGCAAAAUUGUUAACUUCUUUGAAGCUAUUUGGUUGUAAGUUGGAGCAGCCCUCACAUUGUGCAAAUCUCCAAUCUCUCAAGAAGCUUUCUCUAGAUGAGGUGUAUGUAAAUGAUCAGAUGGUCCAAAGCCUUGUCCGUGAAUGCCGUGUGCUUGAAGAUUUGUCCUUUUUUUACUGUUUUGGUUUGAAGCGUUUGCGCAUCUCUGAAGCUCACAAACUCAAGUCUUUGAUACUUCGUUUUACAUACCAAGAACUUGAAAGUGUUGAAAUUGCUGUUCCCAGUCUUCAACAGUUAGAACUUUCAUUUUCUCGAGUACCCCGUCUGCUGGACGUGGCUGAAUGUCCACAUUUGAGGAAGUUAGUCUUAUUUUUACCCCAUUUUAAUGACCAAGAGUUUCAUCCUCUUAUUUCAAAAUUUCCCUUGCUUGAGGAUCUCUCCAUAAUCUCCUUGGAAACCCUUGAAAGGAUAAUGAUCUCCAGUAAUCGGCUUAUGCAUUUGGAAGUUUACAACUGCAGUGGUUUGAACAGAAUCAAUGUUGAUGCACCUAAUUUGGUUUCCUUUGAUUUCGAGGAUAAUCCAAUUCCCAUUGUAUCAACAAAUGCUCCGUGUCCAUUGAAUGUACUCUUUUCGAAUUUUGGUGAUAUUGACACCCAUUGGUACCUUAAUUUAAUGGAAUUUAUUGGAGCAUUCAAUCAAAUUGGAGAGCUACACUUAUCUCUCAACUAUAAGCAGGUAUGUUUAUAUGUGCCAUAACUUCGAUUGUUAUAUUUUAUUAAUGCCAUUUUUUCUUUUCAUUAUCCUAUUUUUUUCCUUUUGCCUGUAUUUAUUUCUCAUGAUUUAUAUAGGUCUUAUUUAAUAUAGACGAGUUCAGAAGCUGCCACCCUUCACUCCCUCUUCAAGUUGAGAGUCUGUCCCUAUUUAUGGAAUCCUUCAGCCUUUAUAUGGAUGUGGUACCAUCGGAGUAUGAAAUUUUGUUGGAUGGCCUUUUUUGGAUUUUUUACCCUAAGAAUUUGUGUUUGUCUCCUGAGAACUGGCGCUAUCGCCCAUUUGUUAUGGUAUGUUUUGUUUUAGCAUUAGUUGUUAUACUUACUUGAGUGAAUCUUUAAUCCUCAUUUAUGUUGGAAUCCAGUACAAAGAAGAAAACAGUAGGAAUCCUAUAGUUGUAACAUGAUCUUUUCUCGGUAGUAUUUGGUUGGGGUAUGUGGAAAAGUAGGCUAAAAGUAAUUGUUUAUACAACAUCAUAGCUUAAGAUAAAAUACAAGCUCUGACUGGUCGAAACAAGUAUACGAACAAAAAUCAUGAAAGAAAAAUGCUCAGUUCUCAUUUUUGCUUUUUGAGGAGAACUGCCUGCAUUUUGUUGCUAGGUCAAGGAGGGAUUACUGCUAGUCAAUGAAACGACAAGUUUUAUCUGUUGUUGAUCAGUUUCAGAGGUUGUAAUCAUAUUUAAUGUUAACUGAAUCGUGUGAUGUUUGUGUGAAUUGCAGUGGUUUUAUGACCAUCUUCGGAAUAUAAGUACAAACUGUUGCAAUGGUCGUCAAAUCAAGUGUUGGCGGCAUUAUUUAAAGGGUAUUAACAUUGAGAGCUUCGAUCCCUUACAAGAAUCAAGUGAGGUUAAUUAUGCAGAUGUACCCUCUCGAGGAUAAUUCAGAUGAAUUGAUGGAUAGAUGGCCUCUGCUUCCCCAGGGAGAUUUGUGGCUGCGGCUUGAUUGGUGCUUUCCCGUACUUAAUGAGUAGUUGCGACAAGCCACAACGUUCUCGUGACUGAGGCAUUACCAUUGUGAAUCUGCGGUUGCUAAAGAUAGCUGUAUUAUAUUCUUUAAUAUACUAUAUAUAGAGAGAGUUAAGAAUGUGUGUUGUUCUCAUCUUUUAGUUUGGUGCAUGCUGCUAACAAGAGCUAGCACCAUCCAAAAGUUUCAAAUUCAAACAAACCUGAGCCAUCCAGAGAGGAAAUGCUUUUAUUUUUCAAACCUCAAGCUCAAUUUUAUUGUGAAGGGGUGAUUAGACUUUUUUUUUUCCUUUCCCCCUUUGCACUAAGGGGAACGCCUUGUCUGAGUAAAAAUGUUGAGAUUUUUCUUUGAUGAAAGAGUGUUCUCGGUUUGAUGAGAUUGUUCCUAUAUCGUCACUAUACAAUUAAUUAUAUAUUUCCUGCUUUCUUUGAUACCCCUUUACCUGGAUUUCAUGAAGGCAUUGAGUCUAAAUUUUGUUAUUCAAUUUUAUAACAUGUAGCUCAGUAAUUUACCGUAAAUCAAUUACCAACCUGUUGUAUUGUGCAUGUAUUCCACAAGCAAAUGCAAAAGUAAACCUUCUUAGUAUUCAACUAAUUAGCGAGUCAUUUACAAGAAGCAAAAAUAAAAAUAAUGGAGAAAAAAAAGAGUUCAUUCAAGUAUUUAUUGCAUUGUCUGGCGCUUGAUUAUUUGUAACAUCUAAAUAGUGCUUCUAUACUAGAUAACAUUAUAAGUAUAUGAAUAUACUUCCAAAUAUAUAUAACAAUUUCAAAGAUAUAAGUGUAAAAAUAUUAGAUUUAAGAUGUUUUAAGUUUAUAAAAACAAACAACUUGCAAUUUAUACUUAGAUAUUAAAAAAUAACUCUCAAUAUUUUUAUUUUAUUUUAUUUUUUGAAGAUAAAACUUACUGUUGUCAUGUCUUAAUGUAAAAUGUAAGUUGUUGUUUAAAUAUGACAAUGUCAGAGGGAUAAUCUGAUCUUUUCAUAUAAUACAAGUGAUAAUUUAAUGGUAUAAUAAGUAAUAAUAAGAGAAUUUAAGGGUAUACAAGUGAUAAUUUUCAUUUACUUUAAUUUAAGUUUCAAGGAUAAAAUUUAACUUUAAUUUAAUUUUCCUAUCAAAAAAAAGAAAUUUAAGUUUCAAAGGUAAAAUCAUCACUAUAAUUACAUUAACUUUCAAACGACAACUAAUGAUUUAGUGGUUAGCAAAUAGCUUUUGUUAAUUUACGGUGAACAAUUGAUACACCCUUAAAAUUUUGUAGUAUUUUUAAUAACAUAACAAAUUUACUGUACAGUGUACACGAAGGAUAAUUUUUCUUAAUUAAUUAUUAAUCAAAGACGAUUCUAUGUUACAUCACAUCAACGCUACAUUUUAUCAAAGCUUUUUUUUUUUUUAUACAAAGCCAAUACUAAAUUAAAAUCCCUAUAACACUCCUUUCAAAUGUUCAUUUUCAAAAUCUUCUCGGUUUUUGUUUGGGUUUGAUUUUUUCAAUAACGUUUGAAAAUAUGGUCAACCCCAAUCUACUCAAAACUCAUUAGUAUUGAGCUGACCUCGUAAGUACGACCUGGAGCCUAUGUUGGCAAUCUGGUUUACAGAUACAACCUGAGAUUUAUGUGAACAACCAGAUUUAAAAAUACAUCCUUGAACUUACAUGAACGAUAGGAAAAUUCACCAGUCCCACCUGAAAAUGAAGAAAUCCGACCUCAAAAUUUAUUUGUCCGACUCGGGAAUUAGCUUGACAUGGAAAAUUAUUGGUUUAAAUAACGUGGCCUAAUUUUUAGGGAAGUUGUACGCCACGAUUUGUUAAACCGUCUCCAAUUAUUAACAACUCGCAACUGCUGAAGAAGGUGGGCUAAAGUUAAGGUGGUAACCACUCACGACCAAGGGCUAUUUAAGCUGAAGAGGGCAACAGAGAAAGGGGUUAGCAAAAAUUAACCAAAAACUCUACAAGUGACCUAUCUAAGAGCCUUAACAUUCUCUACUAGAUUUUUAGUUCCUCUAUCAGAAAAUUCCUUUAUCUCGAAUUCAUUCACAAUUCUUCCCUUUCAUUUUUAUCUCUUCAGAUAAAAAUUCUGUCAACGCUUUACCUCAGACAAUCUUUUCUGCAAAAUUGUUAACUUCUUUGAAGCUAUUUGGUUGUAAGUUGGAGCAGCCCUCACAUUGUGCAAAUCUCCAAUCUCUCAAGAAGCUUUCUCUAGAUGAGGUGUAUGUAAAUGAUCAGAUGGUCC
rnacentral:lncRNA from 1 species